GAUUGUAAUAACAAUCACUGAAUUUUUGUUGUGAACGAUACAUUAUCCAUAACAAUGGCGUUUUCCAUAUCUCAGCCUUCAAUAAUUUCAUUCACAGAGCUAGCAAAUUCUCUGUCUGAAAUCAACCAAGCUCAUGCACACAUGCUCAAAACUGGUCUCUUUCAUGACUCUUAUGCAGCUAGUCGUUUAAUUUCUUUCUCUACAAUUUCGACCUCCAUUUCUAAUCCUAAAACGUUAACUCAUGCUUCCUCUGUAUUCAGUAGAAUUCCUAACCCUAGUUCUUAUCUGUGGAACACCAUGAUUCGGUCUUAUGCUAACAGUUGUAACCCUGAAGAAUCACUUCUUCUCUUUCAUCAAAUGCUUUAUGAUUCAUUCUACCCUGAUAAGUUUACUUACACUUUUGCUCUUAAAGCUUGCUCUUUCCUACUUGGUAUUGAAGAAGGACGACAAAUUCAUGGUCAAAUUCUUAAAACUGGAAAUGGGUUUGAUUGUUACAUUCAGAAUUCCUUGAUUAAUCUUUAUGCCAGAACUGGGUAUUUCGACAAUGCAUACCUUUUGCUCGAUAGAAUGAUUCAAAAGGAUGCCAUUUCGUGGAAUGCAAUUUUAAGUGCUUAUACAGAAAGAGGUUUAAUGGAGAAUGCCAGGAACCUGUUUGAAGAAAUGCCCGACAAGAAUGUUGAAUCUUGGAAUUUUAUGAUUUCUGGGUAUGUGGGUGUUGAAUUGGUUGAAGAAGCGAGAAUUCUCUUUGAUGAAAUGCCAUUGAAAGAUGUUGUUUCUUGGAACGCUUUGAUUACAGGAUAUGCACAUUCAAAUCAAUUCGGACAAGUUUUGAAGCUUUUUGAAGAUAUGCAAUUUGCAAACGUGAAACCGGAUAAUUACACACUUGUAAAUGCGUUGUCUGCUUGCGCCCAGUUUGGAGCUUUGAAGCAAGGAGAAUGGAUUCAUGCUUAUGUUGAUAAAAACGGCAUCAACAUUCAUGGAUUCUUAGCUACUGCUUUCGUUGAUAUGUAUUCAAAAUGUGGGUGCAUAGAUAAGGCUUUAAGAGUGUUUAAUGGCACUACUAAAGAAAGAGAUAUUAGUACAUGGAAUUCGGUAAUUGCGGGUUUAAGCAUUCAUGGAUAUGGUAAAGAGGCAGUAGAGAAGUUCUAUGAAAUGAUGAAUGAUGGAUGUAAACCAAAUGAAAUCACAUUUGUUAGUGUUCUCUCUGCUUGCAGCCGUUCUGGUCUAUUGGAAGAAGGGCAUCGGAUUUACGAACUCAUGGUUCGUGUUCAUGGACUUAAACCAUCUAUUGAACACUAUGGUUGUAUAGUCGAUUUACUAGGUCGGGCUGGUCAUCUAAAGGAGGCCCUGACGCUUGUUCAGACGAUGCCUUUAAAGGAAGAUUCUGUAGGUGUUUGGGAGUCAUUAUUGAGUGCUUGUAGAAGUCAUGGCAAUGUUGAAGUAGCGGAGAUUAUAGCAGAGAAGAUCUUAAAAUUAAACCCUAUGGAUAGUUACAGUUAUGUUCAAUUAUCAAAUAUAUAUGCAGCUAAGGAGAGGUGGGGUGAUGUUAGGGAAGUGCGGAGGAAAAUGCGAAUACAGAAAGUAAGAAAGGAACCAGGUGGUAGUAUGAUAGAGGUAGAUGGAGUAGUUCAUGAGUUCUUGGCUGGGGAUGGGUUGCAUGCUUAAAAAUCAGCUAAUAUAUUGACGAGAUGCAGUCAUAGAUGACCGAAUUCCACAAGAGUUCAAAGGUGAAAUGUAGAGAGAUUUCCUUGAACCUGAAGCUGCAUAACUGCCGUACCCGUUCUCAGUGUCUUCUAUCGUUUUAAUUGGCUCUAAAUCCUUGGGUUUCUUCUCUGCUUGUUCCAGUUCUGUACUAGUUGUAGUUCUUUUUGGACUCAGUUUAUUUGAUUCUCGGCCAGAAUGAGAAUAUUUCUGAUAUGUUCUUCUUGAUUUCCUGACAAUAACUUUUCGACCUUUUCGA